rnacentral:rRNA from 1 species
AGUCAUAUGCUUGUCUCAAAGAUUAAGCCAUGCAUGUCUAAGUAUAAGCAAUCUAUACUGUGAAACUGCGAACGGCUCAUUAAAUCAGUUAUAGUUUAUUUGAUGGUACCUUACUACAUGGAUAACUGUGGUAAUUCUAGAGCUAAUACAUGCCCAAAAGCCCCGCAAGGGGGUGUAUUUGUUAGAUUAAAGACCGUGCCUCCGGGCCUGUGGUGAAUCAUGACAACUGCUCGAAGCCCAUGGCCUUGUGCCGGGGCUGCUUCAUUCAAAUACCUGCCCUAUCAGCUUUCGAUGGUAAGGUAGUGGCUUACCAUGGCGGUUACGGGUAACGGGGAAUUAGGGUUCGAUUCCGGAGAGAGAGCCUGAGAAACGGCUCUCAUAACUAAGGUUAGCAGCAGGCGCGCAAAUUAUCCACUUCCGAUACGGAGAGAUAGUGACAAUAAAUAACAAUAGAGGGCUCUUUUGGUCUUCUAAUUGGAAUGAGUACAAUCUAAAUCCCUUAACGGGGAUCAAUUGGAGGGCAAGUCUGGUGCCAGCAGCCGCGGUAAUUCCAGCUCCAAUAGCGUAUAUUAAAUUUGUUGACGUUAAAAAGCUCGUAGUCGACUUUCGCCCUAGCUGGCCGGUCCGCUUUUUUGAGUGUGUACUGGACCCAGCUGGGGCUUUACCUCCUGGUGAACUGGCAUGUUCUUUAUUGGGCGUGUCAGGGAACCCGGAAUUUUACUUUGAAUAAAUCAGAGUGUUCAAAGCAGGCAUGUUUGCCCGAAUGUUACAGCAUGGAAUAAUAGAAUAGGAUGUGUGCCUCUAUUGGUCUUUUAGAGGCACCUUAAUGAGAAAUAGGGGCGGCUCGGGGGCAUUUGUAUUCAAUUGCUAGAGGUGAGAUUCUUGGAUUUAUUGAAGACAAACUACUGCGAAAGCAUUUGCCAAGGACGCUUUCAUUGAUCAAGAACGAAGGUCGGGGGAUCGAAAACGAUUAGAUACCGUUGUAGUCUCGACAGUAAACUAUGCCGAUGGGCGAUUGGCGAGGGUUUUUUUAAUGACCUCGUCAGCAGCCAAAGAGAAAUCUUGAAUUAGGUUCGUGGGGGAGUACGGUCACAAGGCUGAAACUUAAAGGAAUUGACGGAAGGGCACCACCAGGAGUGGAGCCUGCGGCUUAAUUUGACUCAACACGGGGAAACUCACCAGGUCCAGACACAAAAAGGAUUGACAGAUUGAUAGCUCUUUCUUGAUCCUUGUGGGUGGUGGUGCAUGGCCGUCUCUUAGUUGGUGGAGUGAUUUGUCUGCUUAAUUGCGAUAACGAACGAGACCUUAACCUGCUAAAUAGCCCGGCCGGCUUUGGCUGGCCGCUGGCUCCUUAGAGGGACUUUCAGCUUUUAGCUGAAGGAAGUUUGAGGCAAUAACAGGUUACCUUUCGAUAUCUUAUCAUCACAGGCCUGUAAUAGAGCGUUUGAGAACGCUUUAGUCAACCCGUUUGGGUUGGCAACACUUGCUGGAACAGGGAAAGCCCCCUCUUUAAAUCAAAGACGGCUGAUCCUGUGGCGAGCCUUCUUCAGUGAAGGCCGUCGCAACGCGCGCAAAGCAGUGGGCUGUCAGUAGACGGCUUAAGGUACGUGCUAAUCCCAUGCGCAAGCAUGCCGAUGAAGUAAAGCCCAGAGCUAAACUCGUUCGGGGAACUCGCCUGAGUUCUGGUAUUGAAUGCUGUGAUGCCCUUAGAUGUUCUGGGGCCGCACGCGCGCUACACUGACAGAGACAGCGAGUUUUUUUCCUUGGCCGGAAGGUCUGGGUAAUCUUGUGAAACUCUGUCGUGAUGGGGAUAGAGCAUUGCAAUUAUUGCUCUUCAACGAGGAAUUCCUUGUAAGCGCAAGUCAUCAGCUUGCGUUGACUACGUCCCUGCCCUUUGUACACACCGCCCGUCGCUACUACCGAUUGAAUGGCUUAGUGAGGUCUUCGGAUUGGCGCUUGGGAGCUGGCAACGGCACCCGAGUGCUGAAAAGUUGCACGAACUUGGUCAUUUAGAGGAAGUAAAAGUCGUAACAAGGUUUCCGUA